UUGUAAUUUUGUGUUGUACAAAGAUUAAUUUAACAUUUUCUCUGGAAGUAUUAAUUUAGAAAGAUAAUAUGCUUUAUUGGUGUUGUGUUUUGAAGUGUGAAAUGCAAAGUAAUUGUGAUAAAGUCAAGAUAAAGUUCACUUUUAAACUGAACUAAAUAAGGUAUCUGAGAGACAACAAUGGUUAAAUGCAAUACAAUGUACAGGUUUUACUAGCGAAAUGAAAAUUUUCCUGUCCUGUCUGCUGUAAUCAUUUUAUAUCUGGAAAACCAGCCGACUUAAUCGAUAAUAACAAUCUCCAGAUUGGGUUCCUUCAAUAAAUAUGGUCUAUAAACACAAUGAAAUAAGUUCCCCAAAAUCUAAAAUGGAGUGGUAUCAAAGGAGAAUUAAAGGGAAAAAUAUUCAUAUUGAAAUUAUUUAUAAGGCACUGGACUGUCUUAAAUUCUACAAUAAUACUAGAAUCAGCUGAGAGAAGUGGUCUACAAAAAACCAGGAAGGAAACGGAAUAUGUGGCUACGAAAGGCAAAAGAAAGGUUUACAAAGCAAAUAUGACACAUUUUUUUGAAAUAUUUAGGAAUAUCAGUAAAUUGCAUUAAAAAAAUGUAUGAAAAGAUUUUGUUCAAUAAAAAUGUUUAUAUUUA
rnacentral:lncRNA from 1 species